rnacentral:rRNA from 1 species
GAGCAAUCUGUGUGACUGCGUACCUUUUGUAUAAUGGGUCAGCGACUUAUAUUCUGUAGCAAGGUUAACCGAAUAGGGGAGCCGAAGGGAAACCGAGUCUUAACUGGGCGUUAAGUUGCAGGGUAUAGACCCGAAACCCGGUGAUCUAGCCAUGGGCAGGUUGAAGGUUGGGUAACACUAACUGGAGGACCGAACCGACUAAUGUUGAAAAAUUAGCGGAUGACUUGUGGCUGGGGGUGAAAGGCCAAUCAAACCGGGAGAUAGCUGGUUCUCCCCGAAAGCUAUUUAGGUAGCGCCUCGUGAAUUCAUCUCCGGGGGUAGAGCACUGUUUCGGCAAGGGGGUCAUCCCGACUUACCAACCCGAUGCAAACUGCGAAUACCGGAGAAUGUUAUCACGGGAGACACACGGCGGGUGCUAACGUCCGUCGUGAAGAGGGAAACAACCCAGACCGCCAGCUAAGGUCCCAAAGUCAUGGUUAAGUGGGAAACGAUGUGGGAAGGCCCAGACAGCCAGGAUGUUGGCUUAGAAGCAGCCAUCAUUUAAAGAAAGCGUAAUAGCUCACUGGUCGAGUCGGCCUGCGCG